rnacentral:rRNA from 1 species
GAGUACGGCCGCAAGGCUGAAACUUAAAGGAAUUGGCGGGGGAGCACUACAACGGGUGGAGCCUGCGGUUUAAUUGGACUCAACGCCGGAAAACUCACCGGGGGCGACAGCAAUAUGUAGGUCAGGUUAAAGGUCUUACCUGAAUCGCUGAGAGGAGGUGCAUGGCCGUCGUCAGUUCGUACUGUGAAGCAUCCUGUUAAGUCAGGCAACGAGCAAGACCCGUGCCCACUGUUACCAGCAUAUCCUUUAUGGAUGAUGGGGACUCUGUGGGGACCGCUGCUGCUAAAGCAGAGGAAGGUGCGGGCUACGGUAGGUCAGUAUGCCCCGAAUCUCCCGGGCUACACGCGGGCUACAAUGGUUGGGACAAUGGGUAUCUACUCCGAAAGGAGUUGGCAAUCUCUUAAACCCAAUCGUAGUUCGAAUUGAGGGCUGUAACUCGCCCUCAUGAAGCUGGAAUCCGUAGUAAUCGCGUUUCAACAUAGCGCGGUGAAUCUGUCCCUGCUCCUUGCACACACCGCCCGUCAAACCAUCCGAGUGAGGUAUGGGUGAGGGCACGAACUUAGUGUCGUGCUCGAACCUAAAUUUCGCAAGGAGGGUUAAGUCGUAACAAGGUAACCGUAGGGGAAUCUGCGGCUGGAUCACCUCCU